rnacentral:lncRNA from 1 species
GAUGAACAAUAUAACUUUUAUGUUCAUGACUUCUUCAGCCGAAAUCGUUGAUGUUUCAAAAUAUUGUUCGAAGUUGUCAUUUUUUAAAUUCCAAUUUUGAAAUAUACACAAGAAAAGAUAAUCAAAAGAAUAGCAGUAAAAACUUAAUAUCUUGAGAGACCAUAAUUUUAGAAAAAAUAGAAAAAAAAGUCCCAUCACAUUUGGAGUUAGUAUGAGGG